rnacentral:rRNA from 1 species
UGGGGAAUUUUGGACAAUGGACGCAAGUCUGAUCCAGCCAUGCCGCGUGCGGGAAGAAGGCCUUCGGGUUGUAAACCGCUUUUGUACGGAACGAAAAGACUCUGGUUAAUACCUGGGGUCCAUGACGGUACCGUAAGAAUAAGCACCGGCUAACUACGUGCCAGCAGCCGCGGUAAUACGUAGGGUGCGAGCGUUAAUCGGAAUUACUGGGCGUAAAGCGUGCGCAGGCGGUUUUGUAAGACAGAGGUGAAAUCCCCGGGCUCAACCUGGGAAUUGCCUUUGUGACUGCAAGGCUUGAGUGCGGCAGAGGGGGAUAGAAUUCCGCGUGUAGCAGUGAAAUGCGUAGAUAUGCGGAGGAACACCGAUGGCGAAGGCAAUCCCCUGGGCCUGCACUGACGCUCAUGCACGAAAGCGUGGGGAGCAAACA